UUCCUGGUGGACUAGUGGCUAGCAUGCGAUGCCCUCACUGCCAUGGCCUGGGUUUGAUUCCCAGUCAGGGAA